rnacentral:rRNA from 1 species
AGGACGAACGGCUGGCGGCGUGCCUAAUACAUGCAAGUCGAACGGUCUUUCUAUGGAAGCUUGCUCCACUGAGAAGAUAGUGGCGAACGGGUGAGUAACACGUGGGUAACCUGCCCAUAAGAGGGGGAGUAACAUCCGGAAACGGGUGCUAAUACCGCAUAGUUUUCUUGAUCGCAUGAUCGGGAAAGGAAAGACGGCCUUUGUGCUGUCGCUUAUGGAUGGACCCGCGGCGUAUUAGUUAGUUGGUGAGGUAACGGCUCACCAAGACGAUGAUACGUAGCCGACCUGAGAGGGUGAUCGGCCACAUUGGGACUGAGACACGGCCCAAACUCCUACGGGAGGCAGCAGUAGGGAAUCUUCCGCAAUGGACGAAAGUCUGACGGAGCAACGCCGCGUGAGUGAAAGAAGGUUUUCGGAUCGUAAAACUCUGUUGUCAGAGAAGAACAAGUUGGAGAGUAACUGCUCCAGCCUUGACGGUAUCUGACCAGAAAGCCACGGCUAACUACGUGCCAGCCGCCGC